rnacentral:rRNA from 1 species
GAUGAACGCUGGCGGCGUGCCUAAUACAUGCAAGUCGAGCGAACAGACGAGGAGCUUGCUCCUCUGACGUUAGCGGCGGACGGGUGAGUAACACGUGGAUAACCUACCUAUAAGACUGGGAUAACUUCGGGAAACCGGAGCUAAUACCGGAUAAUAUAUUGAACCGCAUGGUUCAAUAGUGAAAGACGGUUUUGCUGUCACUUAUAGAUGGAUCCGCGCCGCAUUAGCUAGUUGGUAAGGUAACGGCUUACCAAGGCGACGGUGCAUAGCCGACCUGAGAGGGUGAUCGGCCACACUGGAACUGAGACACGGUCCAGACUCCUACGGGAGGCAGCAGUAGGGAAUCUUCCGCAAUGGGCGAAAGCCUGACGGAGCAACGCCGCGUGAGUGAUGAAGGUCUUCGGAUCGUAAAACUCUGUUAUUAGGGAAGAACAAAUGUGUAAGUAACUAUGCACGUCUUGACGGUACCUAAUCAGAAAGCCACGGCUAACUACGUG